rnacentral:rRNA from 1 species
AGAGUUUGAUCCUGGCUCAGAAUGAUAGACGCUGGCGGCGUGCCUAACACAUGCAAGUUGAACGGGAAAACUCUCUUCGGAGAGUGAGUAGAGUAGCAGACGGGUGAGUAAUGCAUAGGUAAUCUACCCUUGAGUGGGGGAUAACUGACCGAAAGGUUUCGAGCUAAUCCCGCAUAACGUUACUUUUCAUAAGUAAAGUAACCAAAGGGGGGGACCCUUCGGGGCCUCUCGCUUGAGGAUGAGCUUAUGUCCUAUUAGCUUGUUGGUGGGGUAAAAGCCCACCAAGGCUAACCUGAUGGGUAGCCGAGCUGAGAGGCUGAUCGGCCACACUGGAACUGAGACACGGUCCAGACUCCUACGGGAGGCAGCAGUGGGGAAUUUUGCGCAAUGGGCGAAAGCCUGACGCAGCGACGCCGCGUGACAAGGGAUGAAGGUCUUCGUGAUCGUAAACCUCUGUCAGGAAGGAUUAAGGCACGGGUAUUAAUACUACCCAGUGUUUGACUUAACUUCCGGAGGAAGCCCCGGCUAACUACGUGCCAGCAGCCGCGGUAAU